rnacentral:lncRNA from 1 species
GCAGACCCUAAGCAGGUACCGACGAGGGACUGGUCACCCCAGGUCUGGCUCUGAAGAGGAUUCGAGGAGUCUGCAGCUUACUCAGCAGUUUUUUUCUCUAAGGGAGCAAAACUUAAUUCUCUGGGGCUGGCGAAAAAAGAAGAAAUCACACACAGAGUUGUUUGAUGAAGAAAGAAUCCAACAACGUUAUAUUUUUUUUUAAGACUCUUUAUACCACCUAAGGAAAAAAAUUCUCUACGAAAGAGAGCCACAAGUUAUAUAUUCCCCAAAACCAACUACCACAUGUUCUUCAAAAGAUUAAAAUUAUUACACAAAAGAAAAUUACAACAUGACUAUUG